rnacentral:rRNA from 1 species
AACGAACGCUGGCGGCAGGCCUAACACAUGCAAGUCGAACGCCCCGCAAGGGGAGUGGCAGACGGGUGAGUAACACGUGGGAACGUACCCUUCGGUUCGGGAUAACUCAGGGAAACUUGAGCUAAUACCGGAUACGUCCGAGAGGAGAAAGAUUUAUCGCCGAGGGAUCGGCCCGCGCCUGAUUAGCUUGUUGGUGAGGUAACGGCUCACCAAGGCGACGAUCAGUAGCUGGUCUGAGAGGAUGAUCAGCCACAUUGGGACUGAGACACGGCCCAAACUCCUACGGGAGGCAGCAGUGGGGAAUAUUGGACAAUAGGCGCAAGCCUGAUCCAGCCAUGCCGCGUGAGUGAUGAAGGCCCUA